GCCUCGGUGGUGUAGUGGUAGGGCACGCGUCCUCGGUAUGGAUGAAACGCGGGUUCGAUUUCCAGCUGAGGCC